UUUAAAGCGAAACAAGGGCCUGUGGCGGAUGCCUUGGCACUGAGCGGCGAAGAAGGACGUGGUAAGCUGCGAUAAGUCGGGGGUAGGUGCAUACAACCCAAAAUCCCCGAAUCUCCGAAUGGGACAACCCACUAUGUUGAAGACAUAGUACUCGAAAGAGAGCCAACCCUCUGAACUGAAACAUCUAAGUAGGAGGAGGAAAAGAAAAUAACAAUGAUUCCCCCAGUAGUGGCGAGCGAACGGGGAAGAGCCCAAACCAGAGGAGCGUGCUCCUUUGGGGUUGUAGGACUACUUUUAGAAAGCUACAUCAAGCCGAACCUUUUGGAAAGAAGGACCCUAGCAGGUGACAGUCCUGUAGGCAGAAAUUGUAGUGGACGUGUAGUAUCCUGAGUAGGGCGGGACCAGAGAAAUCCUGUCUGAACCCGCGGGUACCAUCCCGCAAGGCUAAAUACGACUCAAGUGACCGAUAGUGAACCAGUACCGUAAGGGAAAGGUGAAAAGUACUCUGAAUAAGAGAGUGAAAUAGUACCUGAAACCGCAGGCCUACAAGCGGUCGGAGCACCAGCAAUGGUGUGACGGCGUGCCUUUUGCAUAAUGAACCUACGAGUUGCACCUCACUGGCGAGGUUAAGUAUUGAUAAAUACGGAGCCGCAGCGAAAGCGAGUCCGAACAGGGCGAGUCAGUCAGUGGGGGCAGACGCGAAACUUUGUGAUCUAUCCAUGGUCAGGCUGAAGGUGUGGUAACACACACUGGAGGGCCGAACGGGUAAACGUUGAAAAGUUUUCCGAUGAACUGUGGAUAGGGGUGAAAGGCCAAUCAAACUGAGAGAUAGCUCGUUCUCCCCGAAAUGUUUUUAGGAACAGCGUCACAUAAAAGAGGUAUCAUAGAGGUAGAGCUACUGAUUGGGCUAGGGGGCUUCACCGCCUACCAAACCCUGACAAACUCCGAAUGCUAUGAUAUUAUCUGUGGCAGUGAGGCUGCGGGCGCUAAGGUCCGUGGCCGAGAGGGAAAUAACCCAGACUAUCCAUUAAGGCCCCUAAGUAUUGCUUAAGUUGAACAAACGAGGUUCGGAUCCCCAGACAGCCAGGAUGUUGGCUUGGAAGCAGCCAUUCAUUUAAAGAGUGCGUAACAGCUCACUGGUCGAGGGUCCGGGCGCGGAAAAUGAUCGGGCAUCAAAGCAGUCGCCGAAAUGAUAGACUUGAUUCGAAAGGAUCAAUUGGUAGGGGAGCAUUCUAACCGGCGCAGAAGGUGUGUUGUGAAGCAUGCUGGAGCGGUUAGAAAAGAAAAUGUAGGUAUAAGUAACGAUAAAGAGGGUGAGAAACCCUCUCGCCGAAAAGCUAAGGGUUCCUGAUCAACGUUAAUCGGAUCAGGGUUAGUCGGGUCCUUAGGCGUAGCCGAAAGGCGAAGCUGAUGGCAAGCCGGUUAAAAUUCCGGCACUUGUUUUUACUUCGAUGGAGUGACAGGGAAGUGAAAGGUCCGCGUUCUUACGGAAUAGAACGUUAAAGGGUGUAGUUAUAAGUUUUGUAGGCAAAUCCGCAAGACUUGAUGAACCUGAUAGUACACAAAGGCUUCGGCUGGCGUGAUAGUGACCCUAAACCGGCCAGCGAGAAAACCUUCUAAGUUAUGGUAAAGACAACCCGUACCGCAAACCGACACAGGUAGCUGGGAUGAGUAUUCUAAGGCGCUCGGGUGAGCCGUGGAGAAGGAACUAGGCAAAUUGACGCUGUAACUUCGGGAUAAGGCGUACCAUAGCGAUAUGGUCUCAGUAAAAUGGUUCAACCAACUGUUUAGCAAAAACACAGGGCCCUGCUAAUUCGAAAGAAGACGUAUAGAGCCUGAUACCUGCCCGGUGCUGGAAGGUUAAGGAAGCUUGUUCGCAGCAAUGCAAAGCUUGUGACCGAAGCCCCAGUAAACGGCGGCCGUCACUAUAACGGUCCUAAGGUAGCGAAAUUCCUUGUAGGGUGAGGACCGCGCUGGCCGACAGAGCUAACAACAUGGGCGACGCAGCGCGGCCGGG
rnacentral:rRNA from 1 species